rnacentral:piRNA from 1 species
UCCUGUUGGCAAACUUCGAGUUCCCUGGG